AGAUAAAAAGCAAAGGACUUUAAUUAAUUUCUUAGUGAAUUCUCCAAAGGGAACAGUUUUCCUUGAGUCUGUGGAUGCUUCAGAGUAUUCAAAGACUGGUGAGAAGAUGUUUGACCUGCUUAAUAGAAUUGUGGAGCGUGUUGGGGAGGCUAAUGUGGUUCAAGUAGUGACAGAUAAUGCUAGCAACUGUGUGCUUGCAGGUAAUUUUAAGUUUUAAUUUUUAUUAAAUUAUUUAAAUUUCAUUUUAAUUAACAAUUGUAGUAAAUAAAAACUUCUCAUAUUCGUUUUGUUUUUAGGAAAGUUGUUACAAGUCAAGCAUCCACACUUGUACUGGACUCCUUGUGCUGCCCAUUGCUUAGAUUUGAUUUUAGAAGACAUUGGGAAAAUGCCAAAAUUUCAUAACAUAAUUAAAAGGGCAGUGACAAUGAAUGGCUACAUUUAUAUUCGUCCAGGUGUGGUGAACAUGUUACGGCACUUCACCGGUGAAAGAGAACUAAUUAGGCCUGCUGUCACAAGAUUUGCAACUGUUUUUCUCACCCUUCAACACAUACAUAAGCACAAGGCAAAUUUGAGAAAGAUGUUUACUUCAGAGGAAUGGACCAAAAGUAAAUGGGCAAAAGAACUAUCUGGUAAGAAAGCAUGUGGUAUUGUCAUGAUGCCUACUUUUUUGGACUAAUAUUGUUUAUAUUUUAAAGAUUUUUGGUCCAUUAGUUCGUGUGCUUCGAUUAGUUGAUGGUGAGAAAAGGCCUGCAAUGGGAUAUAUUUAUGA
rnacentral:misc_RNA from 1 species